ensembl:lncRNA
AUUUAAACACUCAAGUAACAACUUUGUAUAGCAAAAUCCAUAUAAGAUACUUAUUUUAAACACUGUGUACCGUCUUGCCCCACAGACAUCCAUUGUAAGUGCAUGACUGUACACAAUAUUUGAGGGAUGAAUCAAAAUGAUUAACUGUGUACAUAAACAGACUACAUUGAUUCUGGAAUAUUCCUAAGAGGGAAGAAAACAACAAUAACUCCAAGAACUGAAAAAUUAAAAUAAAACACAGACAAAAUAUCUAGAUGUGAAUCCACAAAUUGCCCAUUUUUCAAACUAAAGUUCCCAGCCUUAACUUCUCCAUUCAUAUUUGUUUAUGUAGAUUCAAUAAUACAUAUUUCCCCUGUAAAACCUCAUGGCCUUAUUAAAUUUAAAAUAUUCCAAACAGCUCAUUUUCCCUUUUCUCCUUUCUGAGGGGCUUUGAAGAAUAUCCAGAAUAACUUUUUCACCUCUCUCCCUUCAAAAAAAAAAAAAAAAUUCACAACUUCUUUCACUCUGUCUUUGUUAUACUUUCAUUAAUAUUUUCUUUAUUUAGGGUCAUCAAUAUGCGCAUUUAAAUAUGGAGAGCUGUGGUAAUGGCUCACAUAAUGGAGGGAAGUGAACAAAGGCGUCCCCAGCAGCGGGCCUGGAGUUCGGGGGGGCACGAGGGUCCGGGAGAGGGAGGGAUUCAUCUCUGUCUGCGGGAACAAAGAAAACCUGUAGAGUGUGUAAAGAGGCUCUCUGCUGCCAGCGUGCAGGAAUACAUUACAGCCUGCAGUCAUUCGCACCACUCCUGUCUGCGGAUCCGUUUGGUUUUGUUUUGCACUUUACAAGCAACCGAUGGAAGGUUUUCCUCAGGACAGGAAGGCCUGUACAGUCCCUGGCACUGGCUGCAGUUUAUGUCUUGCAAGAUCACGAUUCACAGGUUUGUUACACUGCUAAAAAGCAUAUCUUGCAUGCACUGUUAACGCAUCAGAUGCUUCCAAAGACACAGAGACAACAUAAAGAUCUGCUACAACAACUCAACAGCGGCAUAAAGCGCAGCGAGACGCCUUCAGUCAAAAACAAUGGAGGCAAUUGGCUGUUUUCCUCUGAAAGUGACCAUUAUUUCUAGCCGGUCUGCUCUCUUCUCUCAACCUUUUAAGAGUCAACGUCUGUGCAGCUGAGCGAAGAUGUCCUCUUAAGCCGCCGUUGAGCUCCAGUCAACCGGCUUGUGAAGCUGAGAUUGUCAGCUGGUGAAUCGCUCGGCCUCGCAGUCCAUCUUCCAAACGCUUCAGCCUCCUCUAAUCCUGCUUUUCACCUCCAGCUUCCUCUCGCACACAGAUGCAAGCGCCAAUGCAAACACAAACAAACACACACAUUCACAGAUUAUUCACAGAAAUCGUGUUGUUGUUGCUCAUGUUUGCAAGAAAACUGUUUUAGAGGAGGGAAAAACUAUAGCCCCUAUCACACAUACAGACUUUACUGGUAAAUUACCAUUAAAGAGAUCAUGUGUGAAUAGGACCUUUUCAGAAAUACCAGUAAAUUAGUUUCCGGCAAUUUACUGGUAUGAGAAGUUAUAACGUUACCAGUAAAUUAUCGGUAAUGUGGUCUGUGUGAACGCAGAACGAGAUUACCGGUAUGAGCAUGUACAAGUUCAGAACACGCUGACGUAAGACGUCUAUUCUGGGCCAAUCCAGAGCCACUGAAAUUAAAAAUGCAACUAUUCUGGGCUUAUCAUAACAUUGUGAUGCAGACGGCGCUUUUACGCUGUGCUGUUUAGUUCGUUUUGAAGUUGACUAAUAUGAUGUCUCUGGGCCAAAAACGAUGCAUUAAUGUGAUCGUUUGACACAAAAAUGAAACAUCAACAAAAUCACUGAUCGUGUACACCCCUCCAUGUUUACAAACACAACACCAGGAGACGUUUCUGGUUAAUUAUGUCACAAUUUACCUGUAAUUUAAAACUGAUAUGUGAAUGGCAUUUUAACGGUAAAAAGAUCUAAAGUCGAUGCUUGUGUGAACAACAUUUUUGUAUUUACCAGUAAAGUCAUUUUGGUAAUUUUAAGACAAUUUCACUGGUAUUACUCCGUGAAAGGGGCUUUUUUUCUGCCAAAACCAGCCCAAGAUGGAAGUAGCUGGUUUUACGUAGCUGGUCUCCCAGCCUGGCCAGCCUGACCAGCUAAGGAAGUGGCCAAAACCCCUCUAAAAUCAGCCUGCUGACCAGUUAUGACCAGCCUAGACCAGCUAAGGCUGGUUUUAGCUGUUUUUUUUUUUCAGCAGGGAUAUGGCAAAGCAGAGGUUUGCUCAGGAUAUAAUGAGCUGGACAGUGAGUUUAUCUGUAGGCCAUCGCAGUUUUCCAUCUGUUUGGAUGUCGAUUGCAAUUGGCCGAGACCUUUGACUUUGAGAGGUCACGGGUCCGGUGCUGACCUCGGGAGACAUGAGCAGAGGUCACUGCUGCUCUCAGUGAAGGUGUUGCCUAAGGAAAGGUCAUUAACUGUGGAAAGUGAUGGCACUGGUAUUGACCAGUGAAAGGCAAAGUCUUAACAAGUCUCUCAGACCUAGGGUUUGGACAGUCUGUAUAAAGUCUGGUCCAAUUUGCAGCUUAUUCUGGUUAUUCUGAUUGCAUUUUGUUCUGUUGUUUUUUUUUAUGUAUGGUAAAAGUGAAAUAAUGAAGCAGUCACUGUGAAUUGUGUGAAAAAAUAAAAUAACAGCAGCAAUUUUUGGAAAAUGCUUA